rnacentral:rRNA from 1 species
GACGAACCGUGCGAACGUUGUUCGGAAUCACUGGGCUUAAAGGGCGCGUAGGCGGGCCGCCAAGUCUGUGGUGAAAUCCCCCGGCUCAACCGGGGAACGGCCGCGGAUACUGGAGGUCUCGAGGGAGGUAGGGGCAUGCGGAACUACGGGUGGAGCGGUGAAAUGCGUUGAUAUCCGUAGGAACUCCGGUGGCGAAGGCGGCGUGCUGGACCUCUUCUGACGCUGAGGCGCGAAAGCCAGGGGAGCAAACGGG